GUCACUCUCCAAUUUACUACAUCAACAAAUUGGGUGUAUGGUGAGGUAAUAUACCAAUUCCACCUUGGAAUACCAAUUGGUAUUGCACCUGGGGAAAGAUGGCAUAGAAGGGGACGAAUACUUUUUCAGCCUCACAAUUUUGGUUUUUGAUUUUUAGUAAGUUGUUGACAGGUUUUGGAAUUUUUGUCAAAGAAGAGAAAAUUUGCAGAUGCUGGAAAUCCAAGUAACGCACACAAACUGCUGGAGGAACUCAGUGGUCCAGGCAGCGUCGAUGGAAAAGAGUACAGCUGGUGUUUCAGGCUUUUGAUUUGACAUAAUGCACAAUGUUUUGUAGAUCAGCUCAAAAAACCUCUACUUCAAUAUAUUUUAAAUUUAGAAAACGAGAUAGUAAAAUGUGAAAAUGGUUGUGGGGGCUGAAUACUCUUACAAGGCACUGCACUUGGAUAUAGCUGAUAGGUCCAACUUAUCCGAGCAUCCCUCUAAAAGACACCACAAUGCAUGCAAAAACCUGGCUUAAAAUGACUCCAUGCACAGGCCUCGUCAAUUUGAGUGAAAUUCCCCGGCUCUGAUACUUCUGUCAAGCGCAAGGCUCAAAGGAUGAGUGGGAUGAUGAUGACUGACUGUGAAAACUUUUAUCCGAAUGAUGACGGGAAAUCAGAACAACAAUCCAGGCAGGUUAAUCAACACCAAUGAGGCUAGCCAAUAAUGAAGGCUAACUCAUUUCAAAUUUGGGAGAGCCAUGUCAAAAGAACAUGUGUACCAUUUGACCUCAUUGGGUCCACCUCACAUCUCCAAUGUGCAGAUGCUAACAGUAAUGACCAUCUUGCAUGCUGUACAACACAAGUCACAUUGCUACCUUUGUGAUUCAAUCUUCAGUAAGGAGGACCUCAAUUAUGUAGUGCACCACAAAAACCAACCACUAUGUGAUCCAGUUUAUAAGUCAGCAUGUUUGACAGUCCAGCACUGUCUCACUCCAUCAGCUUAAAAUUUUGUGCUCGUCUGCAGUGAGCCAUGAAACCCCAACCUUCUCAUUUAGAAGUGAGCAAUGGCCCUUGAGACUCAACUGAGUUGAGCUGACACAAACUGCUUGCCUGAUGGAUGUGACAUGGCAAAUCUCUGAUGCAUACAAAUACAUCAACACAAGCAAUGAUUAUAAGUGUACAACAUUCAUCAAUGGCUCACAGAAUAUUCACUUUUGGCCAAAUAUGCUUCAACUAUUUGUUAACUCAAUAUUUGACAUUUUUUUCAUGCAGCAACAGAACUCCCACAAUUCUUUGAAUGAUGCAUGAUUAUGAUUUGUAACAGAAUGUUAGCCUAACCAUAUCUCCUGGGUACAGUACAAGCUGGAAGAACCCUGAUCCAAUGUCAACAUUGUGAUUUUACAGGAAAUCAAAACAUCUCAUUGUUGUGCUGGCAAGUCUUUUCUUCUGUGACUGGUUGGCGAGAAAUAAGCAGCAAGACAACUCUGAACUGUUCUGCUGACUGCGGUUGCAAGCUUUCAGGCUUGAAGAUGUCAGAAAUGGCUGGGAGUGAAGAUGGAAAGAUUUCAUUACGUCAAAGGUUCAGUUAUUAUCCACAUAUACAACUUGGAAAUUCUUCUUGUCCAGAGCCACAAAACCAAGGAAGAAAAGAACGGCAGCAUGAUUAUCCCUCCUCCCCACACAAAAAAAUGAACAAAAAUGGUACAGGCACAUCAACCCCCAAAUCCACCUCCACCCACACACACAAAAAAAGAGAAGGACAGGCAAAAAACACAGAAUACAAAAAAAACCAUUAGACUGAAAAAAAAGUUCACAGACCAAGUCCACAUCCAAAACACAGAAAACCAGGCAACUUUCACCCCCUCCAUUGCAGAGUGAUCUCACCAACGAUCAAAAGGCAGGCAGCUGGCAUUUCAAUCUCCCCAGUCACUUUAAUUGGUGAACAAUGGAAGCUUUAAUCAGAAAAAUGCAGUCUUACAUCAGCUCACAGUGUUCUCACCACGAGGUUCCUGCAGGCUGCUCCUGCAUUCCAGAAUCCCCUCAGAGACUACAGAAUGCUGAAAUACCCAAACAAUCUCCAAACUGCAAAUCAUAGGCACCAACAGUCCCAGAAUCACAUUCAAGACAAAAAACAAAAGUAAAGACAUAAAAGAAGUGAAAUAUGCAGUUUCAUGAACUAUCCAGAUGUCGACCGAAGGAGUGUUGUAUGCAGGUGCCAUCUUGACUGCAGGUCAAGUUAGGAAUUAUGAAGAACUUGAAGGUAUCGACAAUCAUCUUGAAUAUUACAAUGAAAACGAAGAUCUGGAGGAUGCAGUCGUCAAUAACGUUGUAAGAAGGCAGUCCAUUACCUAAACUAGGUGUCUACACUGAUUUUUUUCACUUACAAUCAAAAAACUCGGCAGAAUACAGGCUUGACGCCAUUUGCGUCUCUGCGUGAUGUCAUGCUACAUGCAAAGCUCCCGACUUCAGAGACUCCUCCAACAAAUGGAUCAUUGCAUGGCCCAACGGAGCUCUGCUGAGAAGUAAAAUGACUUGUCUGCAGUCUUGGAAACACUGCCUGUAAUGGUAGAAACUUCACCUAAAUAUCCUCCAAACUCCCAGCCCAUCCAGUCUCCCUAUGUGUAUCUUAACCAAACCCCUCACCCUUAACCUGCAACUUCAACAAUUCCAUCCCCACCGCAAACUAGUGUCAUUCUCCUGCUUCUGGCUUCCUAUCAUCCCCAUAUUACCAGUCUCAUACUGUUUACCCGUGCUGCACUUUACUAGAUGCAUUUUGAAUUAUAUCUUAUUAAUUUAUUUAUAGUAAAAUAUUCUUAGUUUAUGUGCUGUGUGUGGUAUAUGUUGUGUGGGUGCACCGUGGUCCAAAGGAACAUUGUUUCAUUUGGUUGUAUAUAUGUUUAGUCAGAUGACAACAAACUUGAACUAGUACCCCAAACCCACUCAAUUUUACUGUUCCCAAUACACACUUGCCAGUUCUCAACUCCCGAGUAACCCAUCCAAGCUAAGUGCUGGUCAGAACACCCCAUACCUUCUCCAAACACUGGCCUUACUCACCAUCUCUGCAGCCUCCAAGGGCUGACAAUAACCAAUCACUGGACCAGGUGAUGCUAGGCUCAUGAUAUCUAGUGCGUGCACCCAUAUUUCUUGACACAUAAAUCAUUUCACUGCAGCCCUGUUACAAUGCAACAAAUGAUGAAUUCACUCAUAAAAUGUGAAAGUUGACUGCCGAAUAUAUGCCUGUAUUCCAGCCAAGUUACCAUCAUAAAGGCUUCCUGGCCACAGUUAACACAGACAAAGGAGCUCUAUUGAAGUUUUGUGUACAGUUGAGUUUCCUCUUGCUUUUCCAGUGCCUCUUACCCACCAUGUCUCAAUAAUUUGCACAUCAGCAGUACAUUUUAUUGGGCUUCAUCCUGUAUCAUGUAUGCACUUGUGUUUCAAACUGUGCUGUGUUCCACUUUCAUAAGGACAUGCUCAGAGGGAAGAGACCUACCUGCUCCCAAGAUUGUCUCAACUGUGGAUGCGAAUGGUGCAAAAAAUCUGUAGCAGUCAGAAGCAAACAGAGAUAUACAGACUUAAUAUUGUUGAGGUUCAGGGUAAUCUCUCAAAAUUUAUAAGCCUGAAGCAGCAAUGAGUGAAUUUCUCCACAACCCUCCGUACAUGUAGAAGUGCAUUUUCAGGAGUCUCUUGGACCAUGUGAUACUUUUUUUUACAUUCAAGAAAUGCUUCAAAUGCUGUUCAACUUGACCUUACAAUUCUCAGUUAUAGCACUCUGAGUUCAUUGCACCCAAAAGAAAAAAAAGAAUCACUUCACCUCAUUAACAAAACCAGCUAAGAUUUCCAGAAAUCUUUAUGGAAGUGACCACUAAAAAUCAUUCUCCAAAUACCUCUAUGCCUUGUCCUUUGAAAUCUACAAAGUUCCACAAUCACUGCCCCUUUCUUUCACUUUUGACCUCUUGUGGAUUGCUGUGACAUUCGCCAUUUGCAAUCCAAAGUGUAGAAUUCUUUCCCUAACAUGUUAUAUCUCUCUACCCAAGUACGAUCCCCAUAAAACUGAUAUGUUUGGAUCAGGAUUUGGUGAGUUGAUUUCCAGUGGUACAUUUUCAGCCAAUCAUUCUUAAGUGAAGUACACUGUACAUUUUACUAUGUUAAGGAUACUAUGAUUGCAAUUCAUCAUACAAACUUCAAAGUAGUGGGAGUGUCAAAUUGAAAUUGGUGCAUAAAUUGGAUUCAAGUCCCAUGCUCUCUUGCUAAAGCAUGCAAUCAGUCUAUCAGUCAAAAACAAAAAAAAAACACAUAGGCCUCUAAAUAUAUAAGCAAAGACAAAAUACCAUAGGGUUGUAAAGUCCCUGGUAGGCACAUUCCAAUUUUGCCUCCAUCUAUACAUGACCCUGGAUGAUAGCAUGCAUGAUUAGUAAACAAUACACAAUCUCUUUAGACUCAGUUCAAUCCUAUCCCUGUAAGUAAUGUGUUCAAAGCUUCUCUCAGCUGUAAGAACAAUUAUAGAUGGUUUUGUACCACUCAGGAUCAAUUUUAAUUGAGUUCAUACUGCUCAAUAAUGUUUCUGAGUUCUUUUCACUUCAGAAUAGGAUAACAUUUUAGUUACGAUUCAUGAGAAUAAAUCAAAUUAAUAUUGUAAUUGACAAAAAGGUUAAAUAUUAUGAUGAUUUGACGAUGGUGUAAUUUCACUAAGUGCAUUUUCAGUGGUAAAGAUAUAAAGCAAUAAAAAACUACAAGGAAAAUGAACAAACACAACAGAUUAAGCAGGGCUGAAUUUGCAUAUUGCUGUCACUAGUUACAAUUUUCCCUUGCAGUGGCUAGUAUCUCCCAAAGGUGAUUUCUGGGAAUGUAGUUGAUUAUAAAUCACUGACAACUUUGCAAGUAAACCAUUUACAAGAGACUGCAAAUGGACUGUAAAAUUAACAAUCUCAUCACAGUCGUGGAAGCAAAGCAAAAUCCAGACAGAAUAAACAUGACUCAUUCAACUGCAAUGCAUUGUACAUGAAAAAUAACUGGAUGUGAACAUCAAAGACUGAUGCACAUAACUCGUGCUCAUUAGACACCAUGUUGAAUUUCAGGCUCGAUGCUGCUUGUUUUUGAAUUUGGGCACGACUUGAUCUGAGCAGCACUCUAUUGGGAUUGUUUCACAGUAGCCUUUGUACUGCAGUGAGGUUGAAAAGAAGUCCAAAGCAGUAUUACAUUGGGUAUUAUUGUGCAUUAAAACCACUCAAUUUUUCGCAGAACUUGAUGAUGAUCUUAUGGAACAUUUCACUAACAAGCUAAAGUUAAAACGGCGAGCAAUUAAAUUUGCAUAGGACAACCUCUACAGCAUUACUGACCUUCCAAUGUUAUGCAUUAGUCUGGGAAACUAAUACAUUCAAAGCAUUCGAAGUGUGAAAUGAAAUACUUGAAUUGUACAUCAAUGACAUAAUUGACUAUUUACUAUUUUCACAUGGCAAUGGGUACCAGAAGCUUACACGUAACCUAACUGGUGGCACAACUGAACUUUAUAUUCUGUAACUGAGAAACACAGUUAACCUGUUUAUAGCAAAUGUGAUGCACUGUAUCCUGCAAACCUGAAACUGAAAACAUAAAAUAUUGGAAAUAAUCAGCAGGUCAGGUAGCAUCUAUUAAGGGGGAAACCUUUUAAUGGUGGCAUUUAAUCAGCAACAAAACACCUACAUUGAGAGGGUUAAUAAAUCAGCCACGAUGGGCCCAUUGGCCUAAUUCUGCUCCUGUGUCUUAUUGUCUUUCAUAAAUUGCAGAAAAUGUGAGGGAGCUAGCUGGGCAGAGAAAGCACAGCAAACAUUCCCACAGAGUGGAAAUGAGAGAGACAGAAUGGAAAAAUGGUAGAAAUAUGAAAUGAAAAUUUCAAGUGCUAGAGAAGCUCAAAAGUUUGGGCAGCAUCUGUGGAGAGAGAAUCAGACUUAACAUUGACUAUCCAAAUUGCAGACAAAAGGGUAUGCGUGAUGGGCUACAAACCAAGGGAGAAUGUUGCUGCUCCCUAUCCCUUUCUGACAAGGGACCCUGAGCCUAAAACAUCAACUGAUUCUCAUUCCAUGGAUGCUGCCUGACCUGCUGAGUGUUUUCAGCAUUUUCUGCUCAAGCAAAGCCGACAGGCAUGUGGUGGCGGGUUUUGACUGGGAGAAAAUUGUGUAGUAGGUUUGAUAAUUGUAAAUUAUCUGUCAGAAGGGAACAGAUGAAAACAGGGAAAUAAAAAGGGCUCAAACUACCACAGAAGAAAACAGUGCAGAUACUGGAAAUAUGAAAUAAAAUGAGUAGUGGAAAUACUCCAAAAGUCAGGUAACAACUGGGAAAACACAGAAUUAACCUUGUAGUAGUAGUAGUAGUAGUAGUAGUAGUAGUAAUAAUAAUAAUAAUAAUAAUAAUAAUAAUAAAGUACUUUAUUGAUCCCAAAUGGGGAAUUCUUUUAUUACAGCAGCAACAUUAUAAAACACACUUAGCAGUGUGCAGACUUAACUAAAAAUAAAGUACAGAAUAAUAAUAUACCCAAUAAUAAUUCACCAAUGUGCCAUAAUGUAUGAAAUAAUAAAAUAGAUAAUUGUACUAUGAUGUGUGUUCUCCUGUCACACGGAGAUGAACUGCUGUAUAUGCUUAACGCAUUUGGUAGGAAAGAUUUUCUGUAAUGGUCCUUGUGACAGCUGAGCUGAAUAUACAGUGGCAUGCAGAAGUUUGGACACACAUGGUCAAAAUUUCUGUUACUGUGAAUACAUAAGUGAGUAGAAAAUGAA